rnacentral:rRNA from 1 species
CCUACGGGUGGCAGCAGUGGGGAAUAUUGCACAAUGGGCGAAAGCCUGAUGCAGCAACGCCGCGUGAAGGAAGAAGGGUCUCGGCUCGUAAACUUCUAUUAACAGGGACGAAAGAAAUGACGGUACCUGAAUAAGAAGCCCCGGCCAACUACGUGCCAGCAGCCGCGGGAAUACGUAGGGGGCAAGCGUUAUCCGGAAUGACUGGGUGGAAAGGGUGAGUAGGCGGCAUGGGUAGCCAGAUGGGAAAGCCUUGGGCUUAACCCGAGGAUGGGAGUUGGAACUAUCAAGCUAGAGUAGAGGAGAGGAAAGCGGAAUUCCUAGUGUAGCGGUGAAAUGCGUAGAUAUUAGGCAGAACCCCAAUGGCGAAGGCGGCUUUCUGGACUGAGACUGACGCUGAGGCACGAAAGCGUGGGGAGCGAACAGGAUUAGAUACCCUAGUAGUC